AUACGGAAGGUGCAAGCGUUGUUCGGAUUUACUGGGCGUAAAGCGCGCGCAGGCGGAUUGACAAGUCAGAUGUGAAAUCUCGGGGCUCAACCCCGAAAUUGCGUCUGAAACUGCUAAUCUAGAGUAUCAGAGGGGAUAGGGGAAUUUCACGUGUAGGGGUAAAAUCCGUAGAGAUGUGAAGGAACACCGGUGGCGAAGGCGCCUAUCUGGAUGAUUACUGACGCUGAGGCGCGAAAGCGUGGGGAGCAAACAGGAUUAGAUACCCUGGUAGUCCACGCCGUAAACGAUGAGUUCUAGCUAUUGUGGGUAUUGACCCCUGCAGUGGCGCAGCUAACGCAUUAAGUACUCCGCCUGGGAAGUACGGUCGCAAGACUAAA
rnacentral:rRNA from 1 species